UAUAUGUAAAGAUGCACUUUUUAAAUGCAAACAAGUUAAAUACAUUUAUUUAUAAUUUUUUGAGAGACAUAAAACAACUUGUUUAUCCAGUGAUCCCAGAGACUUUAGUUCGUCUGAUCGACACAGGGGCGCAAAAUUAUCGUACACACAUAUUCAAGGCUGCUUUUUAAGUGUCAACAGAGUAAGGUUGCUCUGGGUGCCGGGUCAUAGUGGCGUUCAGGGCAAAGAAAGGGCGCACGAGCUUGCCAGACUUGGAGCUUCACAGCACGAUUUGGCAAACCAAUGCCACAUCAGCGUGUCAGAGGGGCUCAUGCGGAGGAGGUCUAAGAAGUGGGCCACGGACCGCUUCAGGGAUCUCUGGGUGCAAGGCCCUGGCAUGAGGCACACGAAGGCUCUGUUUUCAGGGCCUUCGAAGGAGCUAGGUACCGAGUUGAUCAACCUGGACCGAGCCCAAUUGAGGCUGGUUGUAGGAUUGGUCACCGGACACUGGCACCUUAGAAAGCACCUUACGCGACUGGGCCUUGCACAAGACUCGGUCUGUGGCAGGUGCGGUGAAGGGGAGGAUACCCCCCUCCAUCUCAUAACUCAAUGCGUUGGGCUCGCGGACGUCAAAAAUAAUGUCCUUGGGACCACCGUCAACAACUUCGACCUAGUGGGCUCAGGGGCGGCCAGACUCCUGCGCUUUGCAAGGGAGUCGGGGCUGCUCGCGGGACCGCUACGGUCAUAAGUUUUUCCCCGCAAGGGGCCCGGGUACAAUGGUCCAGAGACUGAGCGCCCGGGUAAACAAACCUCAAGGAAAAAAAA